GUAAUCAACAUAUUCGAUCAUAAUAAGCCACGGACCUAACCUUCAAUAAUGUUUCGAUACAAUUGUAGUCGAUCCAAUAAAUUUUACUUAUCGGAACGGAUCAUUUUUUAGACCUUCUAUUUUAUUUGUUUACAAUGUUCUCGGUUCUUACGAAUAUCACGUUGCAAUCGAUAUCGUCGGGUCCUGCAGACUAAUAUUUCCACGGAACGGUGAUGGUAUACGUUGAACGCGUGUAACGACGCUCGAUUUAUCUCU